GAAAAGUGUCUACUAUACAAUGCAAUGAUGGUCUUAUCAGGGAUCAGUUAAAUGACUGCUUCCCAUAGAGACCCACCGUGAUAACGAAUAGCCCCUCUGAAGGGGCUGGCUCCUAUCCACCCUGUCUAUUCUUUCCAUUUCAAACUGGUGCAGAACAGCAUGAAAAAGCAGCAGAAAUCAACAUGCUUAGGCACGCCAGGUGCAAUAAUCAGGGGGCAUAUCCCUGCCACACCCCACUAUUGAGACUGAUGUACUCAUUCAGUCCUUGUUAAAAAGUACAGCCAAACCCUUUUAAUGUCACUUCAAAAGACACUGAGUAAAAACGGUGACAAUAAGGGGAGUAAUCAGGAGUUCAAUAAGCUGGCAAAAUAGGCGUGCGGUGCAGCAAAGCCACCUGCAUUCCUGUGGAACUGCAGAACUGCAGUUUUUAGUGCUAUAAAAGUACUCGCUUCCAUGAUGUGCUGGAUGUACUAAGAGAGACUUGACACGGCUUCAGUUUGAAGUCAUGUUGUAUUGCUUCGCACCACCAUCUAUAGGGACACCCUCCCCCCUCAGUAACGGCAUUAAACCACUGUAUUACAUUCCCUUUUUUUGCCAUCCGUAAAAACAAAAACAAAAAAGUUGCCUUAACAGAAUUUUUUUUCAAUCUGGACCGAAGCAACAAAAAAUGUACUUUGUAUGGAAAACCAUUGCUUUAACAACAACACAUUUCUGCUUAAGUAUUGAAACUUCGAUCCCUGUUUUACGAGAAUAUGGGUGCUUUUCUAUUGCUAGUAUCUAUGUGAAUCUUUCACAUGUGUGAGAUCAUCUUUGGCUAGUAAUGAAACGGUUGCUUUUCUGUACACUUUAAUUAAGGCAGAAGGAGUAUUUUGACCUUCCACGACAAGGAAACAACAGACACAAACUACUCUUCCAUCCUGAAGCAACAGGGUAUAGCUGUUGCGCACUUUGCUCUCUGUGGUAUGAUCAAACCGAAAGUAUUAUUGAUAACACGCAAGAACACUUAAUGUCUGUAAAGAUAUAGCCCUUUUUCAAUAUACACCAAAGAAUAUUCCACCCGCUUCUCUAGAAGAAGGCAUGACGCCGACAAAAACAGCAAAGAGUGGAUCAGUGUCCAAUCAGAAACCGCUGUUGUGUGGUCAGCUGGAACUGACGAAGAAAACGGCUGUUGGAUUUUGAGGUUCAGCGGGUUUGUUUGUUUUUUUUUAAUAUACUUGGCAAAUGUCAAAACACGCUUUAGUUCACAGAAGGAGAAGCUAGAGGACGCUUCUCAACUGUUAGCACAAGUCUACUGAAAAAAUUUGACCCACAAGAUUUCAAAGAGGCAUAUCUCCUGGAGUGACCAGAACAGGGGAAGAAAAAACCGCCAGAGGGGUGGCCUGCCUAUGAAGUCACAAUUCUUCAAGUCUCUGAUAAAGAGAAGCACCUAUUUGAAAAGAACAUGGCGACCAAGCAUGACAUUGCUAUUGGCAUAAAUAAGAAAAGAAUCGCUAAGCCUACAAAACGGCUCUAUGAGGACUCUGAAUCAGGAUGGGGCAAACAAGGCAAGAAAGGUGAAACCCAGAGCGAAAAGGUCAGAUAUCGGAAGAGCAAUGAAUGGAAAAAUAAAUGAGCUGCAAAUCAAGUCUCGCCAAGUAACCCAACCAUAACCUGCAGAGAGGACCUUUUUUUCCCUUCCCCCUUUUGGAUGAUUCUGGUUUUCUUAGUAAAUGCCAUUGUACAUGUUUGGCACUCAUAUUUGAAAACUAAACCCCUCACUUAUAUAUUUAUGUUAUAAGUGUAUUUAUUAUA